rnacentral:rRNA from 1 species
UAUUGACAAUGAAGAGUUUGAUCCUGGCUCAGGAUGAACGCUAGCGAUAGGCUUAACACAUGCAAGUCGAGGGGCAGCAUGGUCUUAGCUUGCUAAGACUGAUGGCGACCGGCGCACGGGUGCGUAACGCGUAUGCAACUUGCCUCACAGAGGGGGAUAACCCGUCGAAAGACGGACUAAUACCGCGUACACUUAGGAUAGGGCAUCCUAUCCCAAGGAAAUGAAUUUCGCUGUGAGAUAGGCAUGCGUCCCAUUAGCUAGUUGGUGAGGUAACGGC